GAUGAACGCUGGCGGCGUGCCUAAUACAUGCAAGUCGAGCGAACAGACGAGGAGCUUGCUCCUCUGACGUUAGCGGCGGACGGGUGAGUAACACGUGGAUAACCUACCUAUAAGACUGGGAUAACUUCGGGAAACCGGAGCUAAUACCGGAUAAUAUAUUGAACCGCAUGGUUCAAUAGUGAAAGACGGUUUUGCUGUCACUUAUAGAUGGAUCCGCGCGGCAUUAGCUAGUUGGUAAGGUAGCGGCUUACUAAGGCAACGAUGCGUAGCCGACCUGAGAGGGGGAUCGCCCACACGGGAGGGGAGACACGGACAAGACGACUGCGGGAGGGAGCAGGAGGGAAUGUGACGCAAUGGGCGAAAGCCUGACGGAGCAACGCGGAGUGAGUGAUAAAGGUGUUCGGAUCGUAAAACUGGGUUAUGAGGGAAAAACAGAUGUGUAAGUAAAUGUGCCCUUCUUGACGGUACCUAAUAAGAAAGCCACGGCUAACUACGUG
rnacentral:rRNA from 1 species